GGUUGACUCGAGUACUUGACGGUUCGUCUUCGUUCUUAACCCGUUAAGCAAUUUUUCUGGAGUUACAGUCCCUACCAUCGGUGUGCAAGCUCACUUUAAGUGAGAAGCCUAAUGAUGGUAUAUAUUACUCCACCUUGAACACUGGGUUCAGGGGAACAAGAUUAGGCUGUCAAGUCACUCGGUCUUUAU
rfam:Gammaproteobacteria bacterium RIFCSPHIGHO2_12_38_15 rifcsphigho2_12_sub10_scaffold_196, whole genome shotgun sequence.